AGGACGAACGCUGGCGGCGUGCCUAACACAUGCAAGUCGAACGGGACCAGGGGCAACUCUGGUUCAGUGGCGGACGGGUGCGUAACACGUGAGGAACAUGACUUUCGGCGGGGGAUAGCCGGCCCAACGGCCGGGUAAUACCGCGUACGACCUCUCGGGGACAUCCCCGAUUGGUGAAAGCAGCAAUGCACCGAAAGAGUGCCUCGCGGCCUAUCAGCUAGUUGGUGAGGUAACGGCUCACCAAGGCGACGACGGGUAGC
rnacentral:rRNA from 1 species